UAUGGAUCUGUGAUGUUAUUUAAUACUGCGUUAUCUAUCUGAAACCUCACUAGAGGAUUUGAGGAGAAUUUAGUUUACUGAGAUCCAAA
rnacentral:snoRNA from 2 species